UGCUCUUGUGUUCUCAUUCAGAGGUUCAGCUGCUCGUGUUCUCAUUCAGAGGUUCAGCUGCUCUUGUGUUUCGUUCUCAUUCAGAGGUUCAGCUGCUCUUGUGUUUUGUUCUCAUUCAGAGGUUCAGCUGCUCUUGUGUU